rnacentral:tRNA from 1 species
UCCCUGGUGGCUCAGAGGUUAAAGCGUCUACCUCCAAUGUGGGAGACCCCAGGUUCGAUCCCUGGGUCGGGAA